GUGGGCAAGGCUGAGGAGGUGUCCCCGGGCGAGCUUUGGCCACCUGAACUCCUGUACUAAGUGGCUUUGGAAGAAACACUGCAGUUCCACUAGGAGGAGCACUGAACACGGGCAGACUUGCAUAAUUUCCAGAAACUAUGUCUAAUUUGCAGGGUCCCAGCCAAUGAAACUAAGAUGGGUGGAGGGGAAACAUUUCCUCUUCCUCCUCUGCAUGUGUUUCCUGUCUCCAACCCUCAUUGGACUACAAUGUGAAAAGAAGUCUUCAUUGUGUUAAGCCACUGAGAUUUGGAAGUUGUUUGUUACAACAGCUAGCAUCAUUUAUUCUAUUUAAUAGAUCUUAGAUGCUUUUAACAACAGUGUCUAUCUCCACAUGUCAGAAGGAUUAAGAUAUUUGCAACAAUAAAAGUACUACAUAUUAUUACAUUAAUGUUCUUACAAUUUAUUUUUUUCAGAUGUCCAGAAGAACAUGAUUUAUAUGGAAUGGCUAGUAGGCAUAUAUAGGAAAAUAAUGUCACACAAAGUCAAAUAACUUUGAGAAAAAUAGGGCUAAAACAGCUAGAUUUCUUUUGGUGUAUGACAUCAUAGAAUCUUUGAUUUACUGAUGUACAUUAUAACUUCAUAAUAGUAUGCAGUGUAUCCAAAGUUGUUUCACUUAGAACCUGUUUUCAGGGAGCAUUCUGUGAAACUAAUGUUCCUUGGAACUCACACUGGGAAUAGCACCCCAAGUUAUCUCCCAUAUAACCUAAAUAAAUUUAUUUUUUAAAUACAUUCUAGGGGCACCUGGGUGGCUCAGUUGGUUAGGUGUCCGACGUUGGCUCAGGUCAUGAUCUCACAGCUCGUGAGUUCGAACCCCACAAUGGACCCUGUGCUGACAGCUCAGAGCCUGGAGCCUGCUUCAGAUUCUGUCUCCCUCUCUCUCUGUUCCUCCCCUGCUUGUGUUCUGUUUUGUCUCUCUCUCAAAAAUAAAUAAACAUUUAAAAAAUAAUAAAAUAUAUUUGAUAACAUCUAUUCUUCUUCAUCUUGACAAUAAAAGUAUCUACUAUAUAUUAAAGAACACUCUACUUUCCCUUCCAAAUGUGGGGACCCAAAAUGGUAUAUAUACAAGAUGACUUGAAACCAAAGGCAUGUGGAUACAGCUGAUGUAGAAGGAAGACUUCAAAUCUUCCCUUAUCUGACUAAAGUCAGGGCCUUCCAAGAAACUUGGAGGGCAGUUUUCACUGCCAGGUAAAGACCAGCCACUUGCACUUGGAUGAGAAAUCACACAAACAUUAUCACAAGCUGUCAUAUCUUCCAUUUGUCCCUCUUAAAGCCCAUUUGUCUCCCUGAAAAGUCCAGUUUUCUCAAAGAAACCUCUUCUCCCCCAAUCCCUUUUCCCUAUUCCCUAUUAAUUGGUAUAUAAGCCCUCAUCCCUAGCUGUUCAGGGAGCCUCUUCAUCUAAAUGCUCCCCGCAAACACGGGGAAUAUUUACUCAGUCUAUUAAUCCUGUUUGUUACUCAGUCUAUUACUCUUUUUUUGUUUGUUUAAAUUUUUAAUGUUUAUCUUUUAAGAGAGAGACAGGCCACAAGUCGGGGAGGGGCAGAGAGAGAGGGAGACACAGAAUCUGAAGCAGGCUCCAGGCUCUGAGCUGUCAGCACAGAGGCCGACGUGGGGCCCAAACCCACAAGCCGUUGAGAUCAUGACUUGAGCUGAAGUCGGACGUUCAACCUACUGAGCCACCCAGGCACCCCAUCAGUCUAUUACUCUUGUUAGUCAUGAACUCACGUGAACCUGAGUUUGUAGAGGGAAAAAUUUCCAACACAACCCAGAAUCAUAAAAUAUCUACCUAGAAUAGAGCUUAAAAAGGAACUCCAUAAAUAAGGAACCCCUCAAAAAGGUAAAGAAAAUGUAACCCAAAUAGGAUAAGGGAUGAAUUGGUAGCAGGUUCAUCUUAACUGGAUUUGACAUUCAUCUCAAAAGAAAGAACAGGAUUUCUAUUCUCCUAGUCCAGGUAAAAAUUAUCUUACUUCCCAAACUAGUGCUAUAUUCAUAUGUCUGCUAAUGGUUAUUUACCUCUCAAGCAUUAGUUUUUCAUGUUGAAAACAAAAGUACUGUAUUUAUAGGACAUUUAAACAUUCUAUAAGAAAGUAAAUGCCGGCUUGGAAUAUAGUGUCUGGAAUAUAGUAACCUUAUUGUGAACACUAGCCGUCUCCCUUAUCACAGAGUCUCUCUGACUCAGCUCCCAACAAAAUUCAACUGCAUUCAUAUUGGUUCCUAUAAAGAAAUUCUAUUGCUCUAUUUCUCAAGUAAAUAUUGGCUAUUACCAUGGAAGAAAUCCAUUCUGUUUUUGUCAACUUCUGGAAGGUAUCUCUUGCCAUUUGUAAGUCCACAUCAAUGGAAAUCGUUUCUACAGAUUCUCUUUGGAUACAAGAAAUAUAAACAAAACAAAACACAUAAACAGAAAAGAAUAUUUCUAAACUUCAUACAUAUUUAUUGCUUUAUUUUAUUAAAUAGCAUAUGUAAACAUUUUUCUUACAAUUUGCCUCCUUUCAAAAUUAUCAAUUUUUUUGGCACACAAAAAUAAUUAUAAAAUUUAUAUUCUCCUAAAAGAGAGUAGGUUACUAUUAUUGCUAGAGUAGCUACAAGUUUGGGUUGCAAUAAUGGCAAAAUUUCAUAGGCUACAUCUGAGAACCAAAAACGUUUACCCCCACACUCAGCCUGUACACUAAAAUCUGAAACUACCCCCGCCCCCAACACACACAACACACCUUACCAUCAUCUACAUUUACAUUACUUUAGGAUUCCACUGUUUCAUUAGCAUGACUUCACUAUUUCAAAAGACACUAGCCCAGGCAAAUGGCUUGAUUGUUCAUUAUAGGAACUUCCUGAAAAGACCCAUUAACUCUUCAGUGGAAAGCAUUAACAGAUAGUUUAUGCUCUAAGAUUGUCUGAAUCUCUUGCCUAAAGUUGUUGCCUUGCUGUUUCCACCCACCCUGGAUCACUGUAUCUUCUCCCAAUCCUAAUCAAGCCUCCAGCUUUCCCCUCCCAUGUUGAAAGACCAGGCCUAAACCAAACUGCCAAUUCUUGAUAAAUUCCAACCUAGCCUUCCCUCUCAGAAACACUAUCAAAUCUUUGUUUAGGUGUGGUGUUUUCCUGGGUUCUGUUGGUGAUAUUUGAAGAGACUUGAAUUCUGUCAAAUGAUUUUUUGUAAUGUUCUAUCAAGAAAUACUUUAUGCUUGCUGAAUAACUGGUCAAGAGUAAUGCCAGGGCUAAAAUAUUUAUGCAAAUAUUCAAACAAAGUAUUUUAAAUCUCCCCUUAAAAUAUUUUGUCCUUUGCAGUCUUUGGCAUCUUAAGACCAAACCUCGAGGCUCAUCAUUCCUGGGAGGAUACUUUUCCACUUUAGAAAGAUAAUAUUCUAAGUGUAGAAAAUAUUCUAUAUGCAGUAAGGAUUAGCCUGAGGCUAGAGCAGGGGAGAAAGAGAAAACACUGUUUGGCAGAGUCCCUAUCCUCACUUCUUGCCUGGAAGGAUGGCAAGAAGAAGAAAGCAAAUGGGAGAGGGAGAAGGCAGAGGGAAGCAGUGUCUGAUUUCUCUUCUUCCACCUUUGACUGGGAUAUGUGGGGAUGAACAGGGAUGCUUUUUUUGGACUCUAGAAAGAUACUGUGUUGCAGCUGCAAGUGGGAAGCCAUGGCAUUCAGUUUCCCUGGGUUUCUCUGGUUCUCACAAGAAGUUGUUGGACUCAACAGUUCCUCCUGUCCCCUUGAGGAGUGACUGAGAGUGCAGCUGGAUUAAGAAUCAGUGGGACAGGAAUGAAAUCUUGCCAUGUGCAAGUGUGUAUAGAGCUAGAGUAUGUUAUGCUAAGCGAAAUAAGAAGUCAGAGAAAAACAAAUAUAUGAUUUCACUCAUACUUGGAAUUUAAAAAAUAAAACAGAUGGACAUAUGGGAAGGAAAAAAAAAAGAGAGACGGAAACAAACCAUAAGACACUCUUAACGUUAGAGAACAAACUUAGGGUUGAUGGAGGGAGGUGGGUGGGCAUUGGGCUAAACAGGUGAUGGGUAUUAAGGAGGGCAUUUAUUAUGAACACUGGGUGUUAUAUGCAAGUGAUGAGUCACUAAAACAAAACAAAACAAAACAAAACA